UACGUAGGCAGCGAGCGUUGUUCGGAGUUACUGGGCGUAAAGGGUGUGUAGGCGGCUCUUUAAGUUUGGUGUGAAAUCUCCCGGCUCAACCGGGAGGGUGCGCCGAAUACUGAGGGACUAGAGUAUGGGAUGGGAAAGUGGAAUUCCUGGUGUAGCGGUGAAAUGCGUAGAUAUCAGGAGGAACACCUGUGGUGUAGACGGCUUUCUGGACCAUAACUGACGCUGAGACACGAAAGCGUGGGUAGCAAACAGG
rnacentral:rRNA from 1 species